rnacentral:rRNA from 1 species
UACGGGGGGGGCAAGCGUUGUUCGGAAUUACUGGGCGUAAAGGGUUUGUAGGUGGCUCGCUAAGUCAGACGUGAAAUCCCUCAGCUUAACUGGGGAACUGCGUCUGAGACUGGCAAGCUUGAGUGCAGGAGAGGAACGCGGAAUUCCAGGUGUAGCGGUGAAAUGCGUAGAUAUCUGGAGGAACACCGGUGGCGAAGGCGGCAUCCUGGACCGGCAUUGACGCUGAGGCGCGAAAGCUAGGGGAGCAAACGGG